ACUGAUUCAAUCGGGAAUGAAACGAAUGAGGUGCUUUGCGAGUGAAUCACUGAAUCAUUGACUCAACCGAUUCGUUCACAUACACUGAUUCACCCGGGAACCAAACACCAGCGCACUGGCUUUGUUUGGAAUUAUUUUUCUUGGCGGAGCAAAUUUCCAAAAAUUAACUGAAACAUUGUGUCAAACAUGUUUGUGGGUCACCACAAUUUCGAUGGUUUAUUCAAAUCAUACCAAGAGGUCAAGGUUUAGCUAGUUCGCCCCUGCUGGGAUGUGCCAUAACUACACCAUUGUGGAGCUUUUCUCUUGACUUUGGAGCCUGACUGUUGCAAGAAGAAACCCCACCAGCCCCAAAGACAUAUUCCCUCAAUUUAACAGCAGACCAAGGUGUUUCUCCAGCAUCAUCGGAUCAAUGAAAAGUAAAUAGCCUCCACUUCUUGUUUCACAGUGCCGUAUUGAUCUUUCCUCAGCUUUGGCUUUCCCUGCUUCCCUGGCGUCUUAUGUCUUUCAGCCCCAGGGACGAUGCUGAUUGCCAAAGA
ensembl:lncRNA